rnacentral:rRNA from 1 species
GCAGCAGUGGGGAAUAUUGGACAAUGGGCGGAAGCCUGAUCCAGCCAUGCCGCGUGUGUGAAGAAGGCCUUUUGGUUGUAAAGCACUUUAAGCGAGGAGGAGGCUACUUAGAUUAAUACUCUAGGAUAGUGGACGUUACUCGCAGAAUAAGCACCGGCUAACUCUGUGCCAGCAGCCGCGGUAAUACAGAGGGUGCGAGCGUUAAUCGGAUUUACUGGGCGUAAAGCGUGCGUAGGCGGCUGAUUAAGUCGGAUGUGAAAUCCCUGAGCUUAACUUAGGAAUUGCAUUCGAUACUGGUCAGCUAGAGUAUGGGAGAGGAUGGUAGAAUUCCAGGUGUAGCGGUGAAAUGCGUAGAGAUCUGGAGGAAUACCGAUGGCGAAGGCAGCCAUCUGGCCUAAUACUGACGCUGAGGUACGAAAGCAUGGGGAGCAAACAGGAUUAGAUACCCUGGUAGUCCAUGCCGUAAACGAUGUCUACUAGCCGUUGGGGCCUUUGAGGCUUUAGUGGCGCAGCUAACGCGAUAAGUAGACCGCCUGGGGAGUACGGUCGCAAGACUAAAACUCAAAUGAAUUGACGGGGGCCCGCACAAGCGGUGGAGCAUGUGGUUUAAUUCGAUGCAACGCGAAGAACCUUACCUGGCCUUGACAUAGUAAGAACUUUCCAGAGAUGGAUUGGUGCCUUCGGGAACUUACAUACAGGUGCUGCAUGGCUGUCGUCAGCUCGUGUCGUGAGAUGUUGGGUUAAGUCCCGCAACGAGCGCAACCCUUUUCCUUAUUUGCCAGCGAGUAAUGUCGGGAACUUUAAGGAUACUGCCAGUGACAAACUGGAGGAAGGCGGGGACGACGUCAAGUCAUCAUGGCCCUUACGGCCAGGGCUACACACGUGCUACAAUGGUCGGUACAAAGGGUUGCUACCUAGCGAUAGGAUGCUAAUCUCAAAAAGCCGAUCGUAGUCCGGAUUGGAGUCUGCAACUCGACUCCAUGAAGUCGGAAUCGCUAGUAAUCGCGGAUCAGAAUGCCGCGGUGAAUACGUUCCCGGGCCUUGUACACACCGCCCGUCACACCAUGGGAGUUUGUUGCACCAGAAGUAGGUAGUCUAACCGCAAGGAGGACGC